CGGCAUGCCUAACACAUGCAAGUCGAACGAGACCUUCGGGUCUAGUGGCGCACGGGUGCGUAACGCGUGGGAACCUGCCUUUAGGUUCGGAAUAACUCAGAGAAAUUUGAGCUAAUACCGGAUAAUGUCUUCGGACCAAAGAUUUAUCGCCUUUAGAUGGGCCCGCGUUGGAUUAGCUAGUUGGUGGGGUAAAGGCCUACCAAGGCGACGAUCCAUAGCUGGUCUGAGAGGAUGAUCAGCCACACUGGGACUGAGACACGGCCCAGACUCCUACGGGAGGCAGCAGUGGGGAAUAUUGCGCAAUGGGCGAAAGCCUGACGCAGCGACGCCGCGUGAGGGAUGAAGGUCUUCGGAUUGUAAACCUCUUUCAGCAGGGACGAAGCGAAAGUGACGGUACCUGAAGAAGAAGCACCGGCUAACUCCGUG
rnacentral:rRNA from 1 species